UUGGUUUUCUUCUACAAGCAUCAGCAGGAAUCCAGGAUUUCAAAAGCAUUCCUCGAAGACAAAAAGUUUUCCCACCUGAUAAGACAAAAGGAAAAGUCGGUGAUCUUCUCCUCCAUCUCUCUUGAACAUUAAGAGUAGUGUUAAUACUUAGCUAGGGUUUUUAAUUACCGCUUUAUAGGUAACGCUCCGAACCAUCUCUCAAUGUCUUCACUAGGGUUCUAAAGAACUGGAAUUUCUAUUAUUUUAUUCAUUGUAUCCUUGCUAUUGUUAUUGUUUCUGAAAUUUAUGAUUAUUUUGACUAAGUUUGGUUGCUGCUAUUUUUCUAGUUUUGUUUAUAAAUGCAAUUCAGUGGCUAUUAUUGGUGCUUUAGCUUCACCUCACGACUUUUUUUUUUUGAAGUUUAAAUUUUCUGGGUUUCACUUAAUUUUUGCUUUUGUGAAUUCUAGCAAGAAAAGCACAGAUUUUUUUUGUGUUGGGAAAUAAAAUUACACAAGGCUCCAUCAACAUAAUUCACUGAACUACUCAAUCUUUUGCAGUUUAUAGGGCAGGUUUUUAUGUUACUAUCUGAAAAUUUGCCACAUUGGUGCAGGAUUAAAUUGCAUUUUGCUAAAUUAAUAAUGGGUGGUGCAUCAUUGACAGAGCUAUCAUUUCCACAAAACGAUUUCCUUGAGCCAUUGUUUACUGCUUCAAAAUCGUCUGAUUUGAAAGAAACAUUAGAGAUUCUGAUAGCAAUAGCUAAAACCGAUGAUGGUCGUGCAGACCUUGCUUCCAAAAACAUUCUCCCGGUUGUCCUUCAGCUUAUCACCCAUCUACUAAAUGAUCCCUUUGAUCAUGAAUAUCUCUCACUCUCUUUAAGACUCAUGAGAAACUUGUGUGCAGGAGAAGUUGCAAACCAGAAGUCUUUUAUUCAAUUGAAUGGAGUUGGGAUUUUUUUGACAGUUUUGAGGUCUAAAAAGGUUGCUUCUUCUGAACCAGAUCAUGGGAUUAUUCGAAUGGGCUUACAGGUUUUGGCGAAUGUUUCUUUGGCUGGGAAAGAACACCAACAAGCUAUUUGGGAUGGAUUGUUCCAUGAUGAGUUAUAUAUGCUUGCAAAAGUUCGGAGUCAGGGGACUUGUGAUCCUCUAUGUAUGAUUAUUUAUGCCUGUUGUGAUGGAAGCCCUGAAUUAGUUUUGCAGCUUUGCGGGGAUCAAGGGUUGCCUAUUGUUGUUGAAAUUAUACGAACUGCAUCGUUAGUUGGUUUUGGAGAAGAGUGGCUGAAGUUGCUUCUCUCGAGGAUUUGUUUAGAGGAUAUUUACUUCCCUCAACUCUUCUCAAGAAUAUAUGGUGUUUGUAGUUAUUGUGAAAAUGGAGAGGAAAUUAGUUUAAGCAGCAAUCCAUUUUUUACUGAACAAGCAUAUCUUUUAAAUAUCGUGUCAGAGAUUUUGAAUGAGCGACUGAAGGAGAUUACCAUUCUCAAUGAUUUUGCUUUGUGCAUUUUUGGAAUAUUCAAGAAAUCAGUUGAAGCUUUUGAGUUUGGUUCUAGAGCUGAAUCUAGGCUCCCGACCGGGUUUGCUGUUAUUGAUGUCCUUGGUUACUCACUCACCAUUUUAAGAGAUAUAUGUGCUAACAAUGGUGGAGUUGGCAAAGAAGAUUUGGUAGAUGUUGUUGAUUCACUCUUGUCAUCUGGACUGCUUGAUUUGCUCUUAUGCCUGCUUCGUGAUCUAGAGCCUCCAAAAAUAAUCAGGAAAGCCAUGAAUCAGGCUGGUAACCAAGAAGCAACCACUUCUUACUUCCCUAAAGUCUGUCCUUAUAAAGGAUUUCGGAGAGACUUAGUUGCUGUCAUUGGCAAUUGUGCUUACCGAAGAAAGCAUGUGCAAGAUGACAUUAGGCAGAAGAAUGGGAUGCUUCUAAUGUUGCAACAGUGUGUUACAGAUGAAGAUAACCCAUUUUUGAGGGAGUGGGGCAUAUGGUCGAUGAGGAACUUAUUGGAAGGAAAUUCAGAAAACCAACAGGCAGUCGCUGAAUUGGAGCUUCAAGGGUCAGUUGAUAUGCCUGAACUAGCUGGACUUGGUCUCAAAGUGGAGGUGGAUCAAAAUACUCGGCGUGCAAAGCUUGUUAAUAUCUCGUGAUGGUAUUGGCUUGGCUAAUUAGAUUGAUUCUCUUGAUCUUGUUUUCUGAAUGGUAUUUCUAAAUUCUGUUUGUGCGUAUAACUGAAUGGCCGAGAAGACAUGAAAUCAACAGGAAUCGGGAAGACUAAGAAGACUUUCUACAUUUCCGCAUAAUUCAAGAUUUGAGGCUGUGAAAGAGAGUUAUAUAUAAGCCACUUUGGUUUAUGCAAAGACUGAGAAAUCCUACUUACUAAAAAUUGUGGAAUCCUUUCCAAAGGAUUUGAAUUCAUGUUAGGUUUGUGUUAUUAGAAUGAUCUGACAGUCUUUUCCUGAAUCUCUGAGGGAGUGUUGCAUGAAAUAUGAGCUAGAGCGUUGAAUGUAUUCUGCACAAUUUUACCUCUCAUUAUUUGAUAUCUGAAGAGCUUGAAAGGUGAUUGCUUUAGUUAAA